rnacentral:lncRNA from 1 species
UUCAUGUGCACGCUUAUCUUGCUUAUGCACGUCCACCAGUCUAGGUUGAUCCUUAAUGACACUUAUAUGCACCAAAAGUGAUUAGACAAAUGUCUUCUUCAACAGUUGACUAUUGUAAUGAGCCACUCCUUGAUUACCAAAAUCAUAGCUUCUCGGGGUCCAUUAAUAAUCUGCAGGGGUUGUACUAGAAAUGCACAAUUAGGAUACUGUAUCAUUUCAUUAUGUGUGAAAAUCUGUAACUAAGUAGUCAUGAGAACAAAUGUAUGUAUGGAGCAUUGCACUGAAAUGGGACAUCAAGCAAUACUCGCAAGAUACUGCUAAUAGUAUUA